CACGAACAUUACCUGGCCCGGGACUCGGUGAAAUGAUAAAUGACUCUAUGCACGAGCAGAAUAUUAUGAGCAACCAUAUGCAAUUAAAAUCAUUUCUUAUAAUUCAAUAGAACAAUCAACGUGAACCAGCAAGGAGUAUUACCAAAGAUUAAUGUUUUAUCAAGAUUAUGAACCUUUAAUACGAUAUGGAAACGUAAAAUCUCAAUGACUCUAAGAAGCACUACCAUAGAUAUUAGAGAUCAUCAUAGACUUAGAUAUAGCCGAUAUAUAGAGGAAUAAUUGUGGAAGCAAGAAUAUACGUCACCUAGACGCUCCAGAGGUAAGUAUCAAACCUGUCCGUUAUUCGCUUAUUUUUAAAAGUCAUGCCAUACAAAGAAAGAAGGGACAGCGUUACAUACCAUAUAAUCAGGCCGCACGUCCAAUAUUUACUGCUCAAGAUAUUAUUCUAUAACAAGCAACAAUCGUGCCAGAAUUAGAUAAACAUCGCGCUUUACUUUCUUGUAAGCUAGCUAAUAAUCUAACGAAAAUUCGGCAGCACUUUCCCUAUUUUCCUUACUUCGUCCCAAUACGACAACAACCCAAAUUAUCCAAAGCAAUACCAAUAACACAUAUAACCCAACGAAUCAUAUUAAACAGCCCCCUCCCCAAAAUAGUUCCAUCACGACAACCAUAGCAGCGAAGCAACGACACAGCGAGCGAUAACUUAUUUUAUAAUUCGCAACACAUCUACCUUAUCGUAUUCAUCUUUUGGAGUAUAUACUCAUAAUCACAUUUAACAUAUACAUAAUGCCAAAAUAGAAUUUUUCCGCAGUUUGCUUUAAUCAAAACAGCCCAAGCACCAACACGGCACCACUAAUAAUCCGAUUAUAGUUUCCGUUCAUACUUAGCACAUUCAAUAACUAAAACAAACUUCCUAAGCUACUGGUCACGCCCCCUUCUUAAAAUUAAUGGAUAAUUAACAAAGGUAUUCUAAAGAAUUAACUCACCAAAAAAGGAGAUUACUAACCAAAUUAUUUGCAGUUGCUGGCCAAGAGUUGCAGGGUUGGUUUCUCUAUUUCCGUGGCUGCCUAAGACAAGUGGUGAAGAAGAAGAUGAUAUGCAGCAAUGCAUUUCACCACUUUAUUUAGCAUGGAGUAGAUUUCCCCACCUCAUUUAAUAGUAUGAAGUGGGGGCAGCCCCCCUCUACACCUGUCCACUAAGGCCAGCUCAUAAUCUGAUCUUUUUGAUUUUUUCCUUGAGUGGUGGGGCCCACUAGAUUAAAUAUUAAUCAGCCACCAAUUAUGAGUGGUGGAGCCCGGAGGAUUAAAUUAAUCCUAAUCAUCCACUAAUUAAUCCCUCACUUAAAGUUAAUGACACUUUCAUUAGCCAAAUCAUACUUAAUAUCACAUUUGGAAUUAACAUCCUUGCCUAAUCUUUCUUUAAUCACUUCGAACUUAAAAUAAAAUCUCAUUCCCUGGACAUACGUCUACUAGAUCAUUAUGCGCACUACGUAUAAAAAAAGUACGAGGCAUAACAUCCUUCCCCCCUUAGGAACAUUCGUCCUUGAAUGUUAAGUUAGCGUCUUACAAAAAAACCAAUUCCAGUGAGUCUCUCUAAAAGUUAUACCUAUCAACCUGCAUUCCGCAAGUUACAGAUGCCUCACAGCUACAUAAUCUCAUUAUCUAUCAAUAUAGUCAAGCUAGGAAUUGAAUUACCUGUAGAGGUACGGGGAACAAGUAAGGAUACUUAUUCUUCAUUUCGACUUCUGCUUCCCAAGUCAUCUCCUCCUUAUUGUUAUUUUGCCACAAAACUUUGACGGAAGCGACAUCCUUAGUACGUAACCUUCUAACCUGGUGAUCAAGUAUAGCUACGGGUUUCUCCUCAUAUAACAACUCUUCUGUUACCUGAACAUCAUCUACGGGGAAUACUCUAGAAGGAUCACCAAUACAUUUACGUAGCAUUGAUACAUGGAAGACUGGAUGUACCGCCUCCAAAUCAGAUGGUAGAUCCAACUCAUAGGCAACCUUGCCUAUCCUACGAACAAUCUGAUAAGGCCCAAUGUAUCUCGGACUGAGCUUCCCUUUCCUAUCGAAUCUCAUCACACCCUUCAUGGGUGAUACCUUCAGGAAUACCCAGUCACCAAUCUGAAACUCCAAAUCUCGACGCCAAUUAUCUGCAUAUGACUUCUGUCGACUCUGGGCUGCUAAUAAUCUUUCUUGAAUAAGCUUCACCUUGUCAACAACUUGCUGAAUCACAUCUUGGCCUAUUAACUUAGUCUCGCCAAUAUCAAACCAACCAAUAGGUGAUCUGCACUUCCUCCCACAUAAGGCCUCGUACGCUGCCAUCUGGAUACUAGAAUGGUAGCUAUUAUUAUAGGAAAACUCAAUGAGCGGCAAGUGGUCAUCCCAGCUACCUUUGAAGUCAAUAAUACAGGACCGCAACAUAUCUUCUAAUGUUUAAUAGUACGCUUAUCCUGCCCAUCAGUUUGAGGGUGAAAUGCUCUGCUAAGGUUCACCUGUGUCCCCAAUCCCUUUUGAAACGAUCUCCAAAAGUUGGCUGUAAAUUGAGCUCCUCUGUCUGAUAUAAUGGACGUGGGAACCCCAUGAAGUCUCACUAUCUCCCUGACAUAUAACCUCGCAUAAUCUUCAGCCGAAUAAGUAGUCCUGACUGGAAGAAAAUGGGCCGAUUUCGUCAGCCUAUCUACAAUAACCCAUAUAGAGUCAUACUUCUGUUCAGUGCGAGGUAAGCCUGUAAUGAAGUCCAUAUUAAUCAUCUCCCAUUUCCAAGUCGGGAUCUCUAUCUCCUGUAAUAAUCCACCAGGUUUUUGAUGUUCAAUUUUGACUUGUUGACAAUUCGGGCAUUGAGCAACAAACUUCGCUAUGUCCUUUUUCAUGCCAUCCCACCAAUAUAAGCAUCUGAGGUCAUGAUACAUUUUCAUUGACCCUGGCUGAAUAGAAUAACGGGCAGAGUGUCCCUCUCCCAUAACCUGCAGUCAUAGCCCCGCAGUAUCGGGUACACAUAAUCUGCCUUCAUAUCGUAACACUCCGUCAGGUGUAACCUUAAAUGGGGUCUUUUCCUUUUGAAGAGCUGCAUCUCUAUACUGUGCCAGAAUAGGGUCCUUGUAUUGGUGUCUCUUUAUCUCAUCUAUGAUUGAGGACUCAGCAACCUCUCGAAUAGAAACUCCACUAUCUUAUGAAUUAGCUAGACGGACUCCAAGGCUAGAUAGACGCUGAAUCUCCCGAACCAUAUCCCUCCUUUCUGGUUGUACAUCUGUCAAGCUACCCAUGGACUUACGACUAAGAGCAUUUGCUACAACAUUCGCUUUCCUUGGAUGAUAUAAAAUAUCAACAUCAUAAUCAUUUAAAAACUCUAACCACCACCUCUGUCGUAAGUUCAGCUCCUUCUGUUUAAAGAUAUAUUGGAGACUCUUAUGAUCUGUAUAGAUGUCCACAUGGACACCAUAUAAAUAAUGCCUCCAUAUCAUCAAGGCUUGAACCAUGACCGCUAACUCCAGAUCGUGAGUAGGAUAGUUCUUUUCAUGCUUCCUAAGCCGUCGGGAGGCAUAGGCUAUAACUUUGCCAUGCUGCAUCAGUACACAUCCUAGCCCAACACCCGAAGCAUCAUAAUAAAUAACAUAGCCGUCUGGUCCCUCUGGAAGAGUUAGGACUGGAGCUGUAGUCAAUUUGUCUUUCAAUAGAUGGAAGGUUCACUCACAAGCAUCAGUCCACUGGAAAUUGGCUGCCUUUUGAGUUAGCCUUGUCAAAGGCGCUGAAAUUGAGGCAAACUUUUCUUCUAAUCUCCUGUAAUAUCCUGCUAAACCCAGAAAACUGCGUACCUCAGUAGGUGGCGUAGGUCUGGGCCAAGUCUUUACCGCCUCAAUCUUCUACAUGUCUACCCGAAUACCAUCAGCUCCAAUAAUAUGCCACAAGAAUGCCACUGAAGUCAACCAGAACUCGCACUUAGAAAAUUUAGCACACAACAUCUGGUGCUGAAGCACCCUAAGUACCGUCCUUAAAUAGUCUUCAUGCUCCUCUUCUGAACGUGAAUAGACCAGAAUAUCGUCUAUAAAUCCAAUAACAAACAUAUCAAGGAAUGGAUUAAAUACUCAAUUCAUUAAAUCCAUGAAUACCGCUGGAGCAAUAGUCAGCCCAAAAGACAACACUCUAAACACAUAAUGCCCAUAUCGGGUCCGGAAUGCCGUCAUUGGGAUAUCUGCCUCCCUAACCCGUACCUGAUGAUAACCUGACCGCAAGUCUAUCUUUGAAAAACCCUUUGCACCCUGCAACUGGUCAAAUAGAUCGUCAAUCCUUGGGAGGGGAUACCUGUUCAUUAUUGUUACUUUGUUCAGCUGCCUAUAAUCAAUGCACAUCCGGAGCGACCCAUCCUUCUUCCUCACAAAUAGUACCGGUGCUCCCCAAGGUGACGUACUAGGCCUGAUGAAGCCCUUUUCUAGUAAAUCCCUCAAUUGCUCUUUCAAUUCUUUCAACUCAGCAGGUGCCAUUCUAUAAGGAGGUAUAGAUAUAGGUUGGGUAUCUGGCAGUACAUCUAUAGUAAACUCUAUCUCCCGUUCUGGAGGAAGGCCUGGAAGUUCCUCGGGGAAUACAUCAGGAAAUUCAUUAACUACCGAGACUGAUUGAAGAGUCAGUGCCUCUGCCUUUAUGUCAUGCACCCGAAUCAGAUGGUAAAUAUAGCCUUUUCUAACAAUCUUCCCGGCCUUGAGGUAUGAAAUGAACUUACCUUUCGGCGAUACUGUACUUCCCUUCCACUCUAUAAUUGGUUCCCCUGGAAAUUGAAAUUGAACUAUCUUUCCUCUGCAAUCAACAUUAGCAUAACGAGCAGCCAACCAAUCAAUGCCCAUGAUAAUAUCAAACUCAAUCAUAUUUAACUCUAUUAGAUCUGCUACGGUACGACGACUAUAUAUAACUACUGAACAAUUCCUAUAUACUCGCGUAGCUAUGACAAAAUCUCCUACAGGUGUAGCUACAUCAAAUGGUUCUAUCAACUCAGACUCUAUUCCGAUCCUACAAGCAACAAAGGGAGAUAUAUAUGAUAAGGUGGAACCUGGGUCUAUCAAUUCAUACACACUUCGGGAGAAUAGCGAUAAUAUACCUUUUAUCACAUUAGGUGACGCCUCCUGAUCCUGCCUAUUAGUCAAAGCAUAGAUACGGUUCGAGGGACCGCUAGAACUGGAAGCUCCACCACGUCCUCUACCAUGGCCUGCUGGCGUCUGAAUACCCUGCCCCAUAGGGCGCAUAGCCACAGAAGAAGAUGAACCAGCAACGGACCCGGUAGACUGUGCCAUACCACCUGCACUAUCUCUAAGGUGACGCUCCCUCAUAGUAUGGCCUUGACGGCCGCAAGAAAAACACGCACCUAUAGGCCAACGACAUUCCCCAGGAUGGGACUUACCACAACGAGAAAACUGAGGCAAAGGUGGCCUCGACUGGCUCAAACCCCUGCCCAUCUGUGACCCUGACGCCCUAGAGCUCUGACCAACUUCCGAAUAUCCCAUACGAUCGAACCCCCUACCCAUGAAACGUGGGGGUGCACUCUGUGCUGGCUGGGAAGAAAAUCUAAAAUGCUGCUGAGACUGCCCGCUUCGAAACUCGUCAAGAUAACCUGCUGAUCUAGCCCUCUUAUGCUGACCUCUAUUAUAAUCUCUAUCUGGCUAACGUCCCCGGUGCCGAUCCUCUACCCCCUGUGCAUAUGCCUGCACCCGAGCAAUGUCCAUACCUGGCUGAAGAGUCACUGCCAUACAACUGUCAAUCAGAUAACCAUCCAAUCCCAUCACAUAACGAUGUACCUGUCUGCCAUAUCAGCCACAAUAGUAGGCGCAUGCCUAGCCAAUGAAUCGAACUCGAGGCUAUACUCUCGAACGCUCCUGCCAUUUUGCUUCAAACGCAAGAAUCUAUCGACUCUAGCUCGCUUCAUCUCUGGAGGCAGGAAGUGGCCCUGGAAAGCCUCCACAAAUUCAUCCCAUACCACUGGAGGAGCACCCUCACCCCUAGAUAACUCCCAAGACUCAUACAAAUUAAUAGCUACAUCCCGCAAACGAUACGUAGCCAACUCAACACACUCGGUCUCCGAAGCCUUGAUUAUCCUCAAUGUACGCUGCAUCUGAUGAAUAAACUCUUGCGGAUCAUCUUCGGGCCUUGACCCAAAGAACUCUGGAGGAUUACAACUUAAGAAGUCACGAGCCCGUAAGCUAUCAGAUCUGUCCGCAUGAUCAACUCCUAGUCCAUGCCUGCGAGCCUGAUCUGCCACUAAUCUAGUCACCAAUUGAACCGCAUCUCUCAAGGCCCUAUCCUCCGCCCCUGACUGAGGAGCUGGAGGUUCAGGUGUUGGGGCCUCGGGGGCUGGUGGUGUUCCCCGAACUGGAGCUGUAGCUGCUCUAAGCUCCUCUGGCGGUGGCGGUGUAGCAGAGCUCUGGAGCAUAAUACCAGGCAUAGACUUGGCACGGGCCCUAGUAACUCUCCGGGUCUGACUAGUACCUUCUGGUACUGAUUUGCCCUUCUAGGAGGCUGUCGCUUUCUUUGGAGGCAUAGCUGAAAACACACGGAUUCGUUAGAGAAGGAUUAUCCUGUUAAUAUAGCUCUAUCGCACGAUCUAGAAUAAGAAGAAAGAAUGACAUCCUAAAUGUCCUGUAGCUUCCUGUUUAUAGAUGUGGUGCACAACACACCGAUAAACAAGACUCUACUAGACACAGUCUGUAGACACUUCCGAGGAAGAACCGCUCAGAUACCACUCUUUGUCACGACCCAACCCGGUGGACCGUGACUAGUGCCCGUUUUGGACACCCACAUACAAACCUGCUAAGUAUAACCAACUGAAACUAAGACAAUAUAAAAUGUAAUCAAAUCAAGCCAACCCCAACGUCAUAUAUAUAUAAAGAGGACCUGUCUCAUAAGGAGUCAUAACUAUUCAACCAUAACAGCAUACGCGAGCCGACAAGGCCACCACUAUUAAAAGCAUAAUAACAUACGUAAGCCGACAAGGCUGCCACUACACAAUACACAAUGAUGUACGCAGCCGACAAGGCUGCCCCUGUACAAGAGGACAUCCCAAACAAACUAUGUCCAGACCAUUAUCCAAAACAUAUAUAUACAACCCACAUAAUGUCCACAGACCUCUAAGAGUACAUUAGUGAAACUCGACGGGACAGGGCCCCGCCAUACCCAUAGACAAGCAAAAGACUACACAAAAGUUAUGUACCAAAACGAUUGGGCUCCGGAAUAGUGGAGCUCUCCCAAUCAGCAGAGUAGAUAUCCUAGGUGGGAGGAUCACCGAACUGUGCGUCUACACAUGCGGGCAUGAAACGCAGCCCCCCUAGCAAAGGGGGGUAAGUACGGACAAUGUACUGAGUAUGUAAAGCAUAAGGUAAAGAUGAUAGGAUACCAAUAUGGCAAGUCGAAACAAAAUAUCGCUACACAUGUACCCUUUUAAGUAAAAAUCAUGCAUAUCUUUAACAUAUAAGGUGCCCAGCUUCCCUAGUAAGGGGCUCGGCAAAAUAAUCAUCCCGUCAUCUCCGCCGCCAUCAUCAUCAUCAUAACCAUCCUCAUCACCAAUCAUAUAUAUAAUAUACAUACCCGGUCCUCUAGUGAGGAACUCGGUGACAUAUGCAAGAAACUCCGCAUGAACAUUACCCGGCCCGAGACUCGGUGAAAUGAUAAAUGACUCUAUGCACGAGCAGAAUAUUAUGAGCAACCAUAUGCAAUUAAAACCAUUUCUUAUAACUCAAUAGAACAAUCAACGUGAACCAACAAGGAGUAUUACCAAAGAUUAAUGUUUUAUCAAGAUUAUGAACCUUUAAUACGAUAUGGAAACGUAAAAUCUCAAUGACUCUAAGAAGCACUACCAUAGAUAUUAGAGAUCAUCAUAGCCUUAGACAUAGCCGAUAUAUAGAGGAAUAAUU
rnacentral:lncRNA from 1 species